rnacentral:rRNA from 1 species
AGUGAACGCUGGCGGUAGGCCUAACACAUGCAAGUCGAACGGCAGCACAGUAAGAGCUUGCUCUUACGGGUGGCGAGUGGCGGACGGGUGAGGCAUACAUCGGAAUCUACUUUUUCGUGGGGGAUAACGUAGGGAAACUUACGCUAAUACCGCAUACGACCUACGGGUGAAAGCAGGGGAUCUUCGGACCUUGCGUGAUUGAAUGAGCCGAUGUCGGAUUAGCUAGUUGGCGGGGUAAAGGCCCACCAAGGCAACGAUCCGUAGCUGGUCUGAGAGGAUGAUCAGCCACACUGGAACUGAGACACGGUCCAGACUCCUACGGGAGGCAGCAGUGGGGAAUAUUGGACAAUGGGCGCAAGCCUGAUCCAGCCAUACCGCGUGGGUGAAGAAGGCCUUCGGGUUGUAAAGCCCUUUUGUUGGGAAAGAAAAGCAGCAGGUGAAUACCCCGCUGUUCUGACGGUACCCAAAGAAUAAGCACCGGCUAACUUCGUG